rnacentral:lncRNA from 10 species
UAUGCUCCUUCCAAGGAAGUGUCACAUAAGGGCAGUGGAAAAAAAUCUGAGUUCAGUUACACCAAGAUAAAAAAGAGCUUCACCACCUAAAGACGUCCUUCUUCCAAGACCACAAAUUCCACAGGUCUGAGAGAAAAACAUACGGCUGCUGCUCCUAAAAUAACUGUUCAACAUCAAAAUUCUGAAGAGAAUGUAGCUAGAGUGUUAAUCAAUAGUAAAAAUAUACGGUUGACAGCACAUUGGAAUUGGGCACCCUGAACUGCAGCCAAUCAUGGAUGUUAUCAAUUUUGUUCUUAAAAGCAUGUAAGGUGCAAGUUCGGAUCCAGACCACCGUGAUAAAGUGAAUAUCACAAGACAGUUAGAAAAAUAAGCUUCCACAAAGGAAUAAGACCCUGUGUCUAAGGUUAUUAACAUUACAAGGGAGUUGCCUGGUAGUCAGAGAUCCCUGCGAUGGUGGAGCUGAUAUUCUAGAGGAACGUGGAGCUUUGCUGGAGAAAUACAAGAGAUGAGGAGCAUAGAUGGUGAUGGCAUCGAAGAAGCAAGGACGUUGGGAAGAAAAUCAUACAGAAAUAAUGAUGGUGGGAAGGGUGCUGUCAUAAAAUUUAAUUUGAUCCUGAAAUGCUUAACAAAGACCAAGACAUGAGGGAAGCAGAGGUCAGACCCAGACACAUGGGUUGGAAAAGAGAAUGAUGAUACAGAUUCUAGUGAUAGCGCUGUGCUGACACAGAGACAGAUGAGGAAAAAGACACAGAAACUUUGAAGGUGAAAAACAGGAUAAAUCAAAGAGGGUAGUCUGAAGAAUAAGAAGAGGUUUUAAAAUAGCAUUUCUCAGGAAAGUGGUGCCAGAAAAUUUGACCUUGUGGUAAUGUACAUUUCGUUCAUCUACAGUCCAACUGCAAAUAAUUCCUCACAAGGGUGACUGACAAGGCCUUGUCUUCUAGAUUGAUUAUAACCAUGCUGAGGAAAACAGAACUCCUGAAGCAAUUAACAUACUCUUUGGACAAGAAGAGUAAAGAAAUCAGCAAAAUUAUGGUGACUGUACUAUUAGACAUUGGUCUGAAAAUGAAAUGUAAUGUGGUUCUUUAGAAAUGGAAGAGAGGAGAAAGAGGGAUCU